rnacentral:rRNA from 1 species
UCCAGACUCCUACGGGAGGCAGCAGUGGGGGAUAUUGCACAAUGGGGGGAACCCUGAUGCAGCGACGCCGCGUGGGUGAAGGAGCGUUUCGGCGCGUAAAGCCCUCUCGGCAGGGAAGAAGGAGGACGGUACCUGACCAAGAAGCUCCGGCUAAAUACGUGCCAGCAGCCGCGGUAAUACGUAUGGAGCAAGCGUUAUCCGGAUUUACUGGGUGUAAAGGGAGCGCAGGCGGCCUUGCAAGUCUGAUGUGAAAGGCCGGGGCCCAACCCCGGGACUGCAUUGGAAACUGCGAGGCUGGAGUGUCGGAGAGGCAGGCGGAAUUCCUAGUGUAGCGGUGAAAUGCGUAGAUAUUAGGAGGAACACCAGUGGCGAAGGCGGCCUGCUGGACGAUGACUGACGCUGAGGCUCGAAAGCGUGGGGAGCAAACAGGAUUAGAUACCCCAGUA